GAUGGCCCGCAAUCAGUCCGACCGGCGAACGCGUUCAUCUGACCCGCGCCGGGGGCGGCCGUGCACGGCGCGGCCUCCCCCCGACGAACACGAACCCCGGCGCCCCCGCGCGCCAAGGAAUCCAAGAUUGUUGAGUGCGGCCCCGGGGAGCCGGGGACGGCGCCCCGCGGGUCCCGUCACCAAGCGCGAAAGAGAAUGACUCUCGGCAAUGGAUAUCUCGGCUCUUGCAUCGAUGAAGAACGUAGCGAAAUGCGAUACUUGGUGUGAAUUGCAGAAUCCCGUGAACCAUCGAGUCUUUGAACGCAAGUUGCGCCCGAAGCCAUUAGGCCGAGGGCAUGCCUGCCUGGGUGUCACACAUCGUCACCACCCUCACGCGAAGGCCCGCCGUCGGCCGGUGAGCGGUGCGUGUGGUGGCCUCCCGCGAGCGGUGCCUCGCGGUUGGCUGAAAAUCGGGUCCGCGGCCGGGUGCGCCGUGAUGAGACGGUGAGAGUACAGCACGCUGACCGAUCACGCGCGAUGCCGUCCGCGUGCGACCCUCGUGCCCCUGCGGCGUCUUCGGACGC
rnacentral:rRNA from 1 species